CGUAAAGCAACCUGCCCGAAGACCGGGACAACAGCUCGAAAGGGGCUGCUAAUACCGGAUGUGGCCAUUGGGAGACAUCUCCUGAUGAUUAAAACGAGCUAGCAAUAGUAUUCGGCUUCGGGAGGGGCUUGCGGCCUAUCAGCUAGUUGGUGGGGUAACGGCCUACCAAGGCGACGACGGGUAGCUGGUCUGAGAGGACGGCCAGCCGGACUGGGACUGAGAUACGGCCCAG
rnacentral:rRNA from 1 species